rnacentral:rRNA from 1 species
UACGUAGGGGCCAAGCGUUGUCCGGAUUUAUUGGGCGUAAAGAGCUCGUAGGCGGUUCGGCAAGUCAGCUGUGAAAUCUCCACGCUCAACGUGGAGGGGUCAGCUGAUACUGCUGUGACUCGAGUCCGGUAGGGGAGUGUGGAAUUCCCGGUGUAGCGGUGAAAUGCGCAGAUAUCGGGAGGAACACCAGUGGCGAAGGCGGCUAUCUGGACGGUUUCUGACGCUAAGACGCGAAAGCGUGGGGAGCAAACAGG